GAACCAACGGAAUUCUGCCUGUAUCCAGGAAGCCCCCAGACUCUACAGCAGAGGUUCAGGAAAGCCCCUGCCCCCGCCUUCCCCCGCCGCAGCACACCCAGAUCGCUGCAGUGCCAGCAGCGGGCAGAGCGCCGGGCGUGCGGGCCGGCCGCCAGGAGACGCGGGGUCACAGCUCAUCUGAAUGCGGCGCAGACACGGCACGCCGACUGCAGGGCAGCUCCGCGAGAUCACAGGCGGCCGCGCUGUCACCGGCAGCCCCGGCGGCAGCUGGCCAAGGGCCCGAGGGCCGCGCAUACUUUGUGCGCGCCUCACCAGAUCCGUAUCAGAAGGAAACAUCCCCAGCGCCGGGCUGUGACCGCCAUCCGCAACCACCGCGCACGAGCUCAAGUCACCGACGGCGCAGGCUUUAAAAGGAAAGAUGGGCACUUCAAACUGCUAACUCACACGGCGGUUGGUUGUUUCUUAAAUCGAAAUUCACAGGAACAUGCAAAUCUCCUCAGAGCAGCACCACAACAGCGCUUCCAUGUGCCAGCAGAAGGGCAGACUGCCGUGCUCUUCUCUUGCCAGCGGGACGAAAACCAGCCACAGCCCCGCCAGCACCGCCCGCGGGCAGAGGCACCCGGCAGCACACCGAGCUCAAGGAGGACAGCGCCCUGCAAGGCUGCGCACAUCCCAAACAACCCCAAGAACAGAGACAACCAAGUGUGCGGGGUGCUGGGCCUCCCACACCCACUCACACCCACCAUACACAACGCGAAGUCCCAACACUGGGGGAAACAAAUCACCAGGAAGCAAACAGCCCGUACAGCAUCAAACAUUGACGAACCACGCCAAACACUCAUUUCCCACAGAGUUACAGCUCUGCAUGUGCUCAUGCACAUCCACUCUUUCCGUUUAGGACUGAGGGAACCAAGCAUGGAGUCACUUACAGAAAGAAGGGCCCGCUCAGCCUCCCUCCUGGCACACGCAAGCAAGAAUCCAUUUGUUGUCUAUGCUGUCACCCACUGUCCUCAGCUGACACACCAAUUACAGAUAUUGCACAGCAGGGGAGAACAAAUGAGAAAUAUCCACAAAGUCUGGAAAAAAACCCACACAUUUAUCCAAGAGGGAAAAAUAGCUUACCUAGGCCAAAGAUAUGGGCCGGGAGCACAGGAGUCCUCACUCCCAUUGGAAAAGAGGAGGCAGGAAGGUGACGAGGCAGGGCCGGCCCUGCGGGAGGGCAGAACAACCCUGUGGGGCUGGGGGCUCCAGGACAGAGACGGCCAUUAG
rnacentral:lncRNA from 1 species